ACGGGUGCGUAACGCGUAGCCAACCUACCCGAAUCUGGGGGAUAGCCCGCCGAAAGGCGGAUUAAUACCGCAUAAAACCACAGUAUGGCAUCAUAUAAUGGUUAAAGAUUUAUUGGAUUCGGAUGGGGCUGCGUGCCAUUAGCUAGUUGGGGAGGUAACGGCUCACCAAGGCGACGAUGGCUAGGGGAGCUGAGAGGCUGGUCCCCCACACGGGCACUGAGAUACGGGCCCG
rnacentral:rRNA from 1 species